GAUGAACGCUGGCGGCGUGCCUAAUACAUGCAAGUCGAGCGAAUGGAUUAAGAGCUUGCUCUUAUGAAGUUAGCGGCGGACGGGUGAGUAACACGUGGGUAACCUGCCCAUAAGACUGGGAUAACUCCGGGAAACCGGGGCUAAUACCGGAUAACAUUUUGAACCGCAUGGUUCGAAAUUGAAAGGCGGCUUCGGCUGUCACUUAUGGAUGGACCCGCGUCGCAUUAGCUAGUUGGUGAGGUAACGGCUCACCAAGGCAACGAUGCGUAGCCGACCUGAGGGGGGGAUCGGCCAACCUGGGACUGAGACACGGCCCAGACUCCUACGGGAGGCAGCAGUAGGGGAUCUUCCGCAAUGGACGAAAGUCUGACGGAGCAACGCCGCGUGAGUGAUGAAGGCUUUCGGGUCGUAAAACUCUGUUGUUAGGGAAGAACAAGUGCUAGUUGAAUAAGCUGGCACCUUGACGGUACCUAACCAGAAAGCCACGGCUAACUACGUGCCAGCCGCCGCGGUAA
rnacentral:rRNA from 1 species